GGGGGGGGGGGGGGGGGGGGGGGGGGGGGGGGGGGGGGGGGGGGGGGGGGGGGGGGGGGGGGGGGGGGGGGCCGGCGGCCGGGCGGCCGGGGCGCUGCCGGCGCGGCAGCCGCAGGAACAAAGGCGCACGGCACAGGUUCCAGUGAAUGGCCAUCUUAUCACAUCAGUCAACAUCAGAGAAAAAAAGCUCCUCAAGCCUAAGAAGAAGAGGAAAACCCAGUGCUCAGAAAAAGAGGUGCCAAAAGAUCUGCAUUCUGUGGAAAAAGACAAACUGCAAGAGGAGGAAGGAGUUUGGCAGACCAAGAUCAGCAGCCGUGAAAAGAGACACUUAAGGAAGGAAAGGCUGAAACAAAAAGAUCCCAGCAGAGCGUCCCUGGGCAGCUCAGGGGUUGAGCCAGCCUUUGACUGGGAUGAGAAGGGAGCAGUGUGGCCACUCACAGAGGACACCAGUGGUGGUGGAAGAGGUGCUUUCUGUGCCAAGGCAGAGCUGAAGGGCUCAGGAACCCUGCGGGAAGAACCGGCACCCUCCAGAUCAGAAGAUGAUGUUUUCUCCAAUGUAGGAACAUGGGAUAUUGCAGAUGUAAAAUCCUGUCCUGUGACCUUUGGGACAUUGUCAGAUCUCUCCAGGGAUUUAGAUAACGUGAAGAGUAAAUCAUCUGAGGACAGUCCUUCCAGAUGCUGCUGGCAUGGCAGCUCAACUUUCCUCCCAGCAGAUGAUGCGUGGCAGGGGCAGGGUGACCCUUCAGUGAUUGACCUGGACUCUGACUGGAAGGCUCCCACGGAGGAGUGGGGAAACUGGACCGGAGAUGAGGAGCAUCAGGGGAGGGAUGAGAAGAAGGAUUUGCCAAAAGGCAAAGCAGGCAUUCGUUUCUGCCUUUCUGGAUCUGAAAGCAAAACACGACAGAAGAAGAAGAAAAUGGAAGUGAAGGAAGCAAGUGGUGGAGCUGGACUGAGGCAUUCCCAGCAAGGUUUGCAAACAAGAAUGGAAGAAGGCCCCAGGGACUUAAGAUCUACAAAACAUAGCAGUGAUGCAGUCGAUGCUUCCUUCGAAAAAUCCUUGGACAUUGUUAAUAAUUCAGCCAAUAAUGGUGUACCUGGCAAAAAGGAGAGGAGGAAGAGGAAGAAAAUGAAGAAAGAGACUUGAGGGAGCUGUGUGGCUGCCGGAGUGCCAACCCGAUGGGGCAGACAUGCCAAUGAGCUGCCAGGAUUCUGCUUUCUGCCAUGCUGCUGAGCCCCAGGCAAAGAGAGGCUCCAGGAGAGCCCCCAGAGAGGAAGAGAAGAGGAGCAGUGAGCCAGAGAGCGUGAGUGUGUGAGAGAGCGGAGAGAGGGAGCAGGCUGUGCGCAGGAGGUGGUUUGAAUCAGAGUGGCUGCUCAUUGCAAGCUGCUGCCCUUGAUCAAAAGCUGUUGAAUGGGGUUUGACUGGUUGCAUUAAGUCCUUUCAGUUUUUUGCUGUCACGUUGUUCGUCAGCUUGUAGUGUUCUAUGCCAUUGUAGAAAUAGUGGGGCUGUACCUGACUGUGGUUGUACUUUGGUCCCAUGGAGGAUCACCAGCUAGUCUGGUCUCCUCUGGCAGUUCUGCAGAGGUGCUCAUGGACAGGCUAGUAAUGUACAGAAGGAAGCACUGUUCAGGAACAAAGGGAGAAUAGCAUGGAUCAUUCCCCAGCCUCCUAACUCUCUUAAAUCCUUGGUAGCUGCUGUUGUCAGACUUUUGCCUCUUACCUUGCCAUAUUAUACUUUUUACCCCACAUCAGACUAGCUUGCUCCUCAAGGAACAUGUCUAAAGGAGGUUUUUAACUUGUUUGGAAAGAUGGUCUAAACCCAUUUUUCUCCCUGGAUUUCAUGGUGGGCUAAAGUUUAAAGUCUGUAUGUCCAAAGCAUGUUGCAUUUGUACUUAUAGUAGACUGAGGUAAAUUUUAAAAAUAAUUUUUCUUAAUCUGAUGUUUGCAAGUUUUUUAUCAUUUUGUCACUUGAGUAUUCUAAUAUAAACUAAAUUUGUGAAUGAAGUUUUUAAGUCAGUUUAGUGUUUAUUGAAGGGUGUGUAUUUCUCCUUGUAAGAGGGCUCAUAGUAUGGAGGAGAGAAUGUGUUACAAUAGAAUACUGUGGAUUAUAAACAGUGCUGAAGUGACACCACUAAAAGCAGAAGCCCUUUAUCCCCAGAGGAGCUGCAGCUUUGAUGGUAGCUGGGGGGGUCUUCAGACGGUCCUGAGACUGUGCCUGACCCAGCCCAGAAGUGCUGCCUCAAAGGAUGAGACAGUGUUUCUCAAAUCUCCAUCUGCAUUUGAUUCUGUGCCUUUGGAGAUGGUGGGGGACAGUUACCAAUGCAUGUUAAAUGUGUGCACAUUUGUAGGCUUUGGGCUGAUGUUGUGAAACUCUUUUCACUAGGACAGUGAUGUCUGUGGCUUUACACUGCCACAGCUGCACUCCUGUUUGCAUCAGGGAGCCAGAGGAGAGCUCUGUGCUUCUGCCAUUGCAUCCCUGAUCUCUGAUCCCAGCUUGUCAAAGCUUUAUCUGCAGCUCAACACUUGUCCCUGAUGGCCUUCAUCUGUUGCAUAGCUGUCCAAUCAGCUGUACCCUUCAGAGAAGCAGCAAUGUAUUUGUGCUUAGAGUUUAGCUAUUAUAUGUUGAAGGGCAGUUUUCUUGUGCUGUGAUUUUUGGGGUAGUUAGCUGUACUGUGUACCCAAAAUUUAGCACAGUAGGGCUGUUUCUGACAGGCAGGAGAGAUGUAAUCUUAACUGAUGCCACUUAGCAGCCCGCUGUCUAGGAUCUGCACAUCUUGGUGUUUGUGUCUCAGUGAAGGCAAAAUAUUGGCAGUUUAUGAAUGGACUGAACAGACCAAAGAGCUUUUAUCAGGAAAGUAACUGGUUUGGAAUAGAUGCAUAACAAGAAAAUACAUGGCCUUGCUGGAGGAACAGGUACAGCAAGUUCAAGGAUUUAGAUGUGCUAAUGAGUAUGUGGGUAAUGAACAAAGUUCUGCUAUCUCUGAAGCCAAUGGAAAACAUUCAUUGACCUCACUGGGGCCAGGAUGUUGCCCACGGCCUUUGCUUAGUAUUGAAGGUAACCUCUGUCAUGCAAAAAAGAAAGGGAAAAAAAAGAUAAAGAGAAGCUCACAAAAUUGGUGGACUACAGAUUUCUGCUUUUUUCUCUAUAUCUGCUUGUAAACUUUUUGAUGUCUUUGUAAUUAUGCUUUAUUUCAACAUUUUUCAGUAUUUCAAAUGUCACUGUUUUUAUAAUAAAAAAUUAAAACUUUUGCCCAAAGCC
rnacentral:lncRNA from 12 species